CCUACGGGGGGCUGCAGUGGGGAAUAUUGGACAAUGGGGGCAACCCUGAUCCAGCCAUGCCGCGUGUGUGAAGAAGGCCCUCGGGUUGUAAAGCACUUUCAGUGAGGAAGAACGCCUGGUGGUUAAUACCCAUCAGGAAAGACAUCACUCACAGAAGAAGCACCGACUAACUCCGUGCCAGCAGCCGCGGUAAUACGGAGGGUGCGAGCGUUAAUCGGAAUUACUGGGCGUAAAGCGCGCGUAGGUGGCUUGAUAAGCCGGUUGUGAAAGCCCCGGGCUCAACCUGGGAACGGCAUCCGGAACUGUCAAGCUAGAGUGCAGGAGAGGAAGGUAGAAUUCCCGGUGUAGCGGUGAAAUGCGUAGAGAUCGGGAGGAAUACCAGUGGCGAAGGCGGCCUUCUGGACUGACACUGACACUGAGGUGCGAAAGCGUGGGUAGCAAACAGGAUUAGAUACCCUUGUAGUC
rnacentral:rRNA from 1 species